UGUGCGCUGUGUAACCGCAAAGAAAAUAAACACUUCUAAUGUGUAUAUUUCUGUAAUUACAGGUAAAUAUGUGGCACCAGUUUGAACCUUAGGGAAUUCAUUCUGCGCCCCCGCUACAUAUUUUGGCGAGCCAGCCAGGAGGGUGUCCCAGUCUGGUCCAUCCGGAGGAGACGAACCUGGAACCUCCUGCACCAGCUGAUGAAUAUAAUGGAGCAGUGUGACUUACUAGGGGACCCCAAGAUGUGUGUGUGUGUAGGCUCCAUAAUAUGGCAAAAAUAUGCAAAUUUCAUGCAUCAGUCUACAAUGUGAAAAGGGUUGAAUCUGGUGGAAUAGAGUAAAAAUGUCAUCACUACUUUUCUUCAAAAUCAAAUACUGACAUUACAGAAUGCAUGGUUUUAUACUGUAAUGGGAGUGAGAUUACAAAAUGUGGUUUAAUAGCAGUUUUUUGUUCAUGUGCAUUUUUGGCACAAAUGUGAAAAGAGGGUAGUACAUUUAAGUAGGGUUAAACUAACUGGUGUUAAAGAAGGGUUGUGUUUUACAUAUAACUGGUGAUCUGUAUGAUAAAUAGACUGGAACAGGUUUGUUGAAAAUUAUCUUUAGUUUUUUAUUAUUCUGUGUUUACCUAUUGGUAAAUGGACUGUAUCUUAUAUAGCGAUUUUCUCACAGUGAGAAAGCAUUUUACAGGGGAUCAUACACCAUUCACACACUGAUGACGGCAGGCUGCCAUGCAACGGUGCUAGUCAAGCCACCGCGAGCAAUUCGGGGUUCAGUGUCUUACUCAGGGACACUAAAGCAUGCGUGGAGACCGGGAGUCAAACCACCAACUGGCUGGUCAGGAGACAACUGCCCUACCUGGUGAGCCACAGCCACCCCCACCCCUACAUUGGAGCAGACUCCAGCUUCUAAACCAGCAGAAAUGACUGUCAUUGAAGAGUGUGAGAGAGAAAAAUCCAGGAGGCAUCUCACUCUGUAUUUUUGCAGAAGAGCUCUAAGUACAGCAACAAAGGAGUUUCACACCCUUGGGACUGUCACUCAAGGUUUCUUGGUUGCUAAAGCCCUUACUUUUUGAUGAUGUUUGGAGCAGAGACGGCUUUGGGGUUCAUGGAUAAGUGGAAACCUUUCCCAAGCCGCUGUCAGUCUCACAAACCAGGUCAAGUGUGGUGCUUAGUACAUGCGCUGUUGACAACAUGCCACUGUUCAGCAGCACAACAAUGAUUCUGCACAGUGGUAAAGCUGAUUUUGCUCUGGCUCAGCAUGAAACUUGUUUCAAUGACCAUUUGCUUUCCCAGAAAGUGAAGCCACCCCUCAGACGAAGACACUUCAAGUCCCUUAGUGCACAAAUGUUACAUAGGUGUUCACAAAUUUCUGCGGUGUCAGUGUUGUAGUAUUUAAUUUAUUGGCUUAAUGAAGUCUAUUCCUCUGCAAAGUUCUGCUUGUCCACUUGGUAAAUUUGCUCUGCUGAUUCAUUCUGUGUGCACUACAUCUAUUUCCUGUCUGUCCGUCCUGGAAGAGGGAUCCCUCCUCUGCUGCUCUUCCUGAGGUUUCUUCAAUUUUUCCCUUUAAAGGGUUUUUUGGGGAGUUUUUCCUUAUCCGAUGUGAGGGUCUAAGGACAGAAGGCAACUUUGUGAUUUGUGAUACUGGCUGUAGAAAUGCACUGAGCAGACUCCAUGUUUUUAUGUACUGUACAUGUUAAUGCACUUUGACUACAGG